rnacentral:rRNA from 1 species
AUUGAACGCUGGCGGCAGGCCUAACACAUGCAAGUCGAACGAGUGGCGGACGGGUGAGUAAUGUCUGGGAAACUGCCUGAUGGAGGGGGAUAACUACUGGAAACGGUAGCUAAUACCGCAUACCAUCGGAUGUGCCCAGAUGGGAUUAGCUAGUAGGUGGGGUAAAGGCUCACCUAGGCGACGAUCCCUAGCUGGUCUGAGAGGGUGAUCGGCCACACUGGAACUGAGACACGGCCCAGACUCCUACGGGAGGCAGCAGUGGGGAAUCUUCGGCAAUGGACGAAAGUCUGAUCCAGCCACGCCGCGUGAGUGAAGAAGGUUUUCGGGUCGUAAAGCUCUGUUGUUAGGGAAGCGGUACCUAACCAGAAAGCCCCGGCUAACUACGUGCCAGCAGCCGCGGUAAUAC